rnacentral:rRNA from 1 species
GCGUACUAUUAGAUAGUUGGCGGGGUAACGGCCCACCAAGUCAUUGAUAGUUAGCUGGUCUGAGAGGAUGAUCAGCCACACUGGGACUGAGAUACGGCCCAGACUCCUACGGGAGGCAGCAGUGAGGAAUAUUGCACAAUGGGGGCAACCCUGAUGCAGCAACGCCGCGUGAGUGAUGAAGCAGUUUAUCUGUGUAAAGCUCUGUUGGGAGGGACGAAUUGUAGGGUUAGUUGCCUUACUUGACGGUACCUCCUGAGGAAGCUCCGGCUAACUCCGUGCCAGCAGCCGCGGUAAUACGGGGGGAGCGAGCGUUGUCCAGAUUUAUUGGGCGUAAAGGGCAUGUAGGUGGUCUUUUAAGUCAGUUGUUAAAACUAUCGGCUUAACCGGUAAUUGCAAUUGAUACUGGAAGACUUGAAUCUGAGAGGGGAUAGUGGAAUAUCAGGUGUAGCGGUGGAAUGCGUAGAUAUUUGAUAGAACACCUGAGGUGAAGACGACUAUCUGGUUCAUGAUUGACACUGAAAUGCGAAAGUAUGGGGAGCAAACAGGAUUAGAUACCCUGGUAGUCCAUACCGUAAACGAUAAAACUAGGUGUCUGGGGACUUAACCCCCUGGGCGCCGUAGCUAACGCGUUAA